AAGGAUCAUUACCGAGAGACGGGGUCUAACCGGCCCUACUCUUCACCCCUGUUUACCGAAACAUGUUGCUUCGGCGAGCUCGAGCUCUAAGUUUGACGCCCGCCAGAGGCCCUAUCAAACCCUGUGUAUAAGGUCGUCCGAGUAUAAACAAUCGUUAAAACUUUCAACAACGGAUCUCUUGGUUCCG
rnacentral:misc_RNA from 1 species